ACGUGUUUCCCACGAUGCACCGCCUCUGUCUUCUCUCGCGGCUGUCGUUCUUUACCCCUUGGUGCAAUCUUGCACAGAACCCUUUUGACAGAUGGAAGGGCUAUCUGAGCCUUGCGAAAGUGGUUACGGAGAUCAUCGCGGAACGCAAGAAGGUCCCAUUUCCAUCUCAGAGUUUGGACACAAUGGAGUACGACAUGCAGCUAGUCCUCAACGAGGACAACUUUGAAACAGCAUCACAAUGGGUUAAUGGAAGCAGUUCCAGCAGCAAGAGCUCCAAAGGUAGUGCCAAUGGCCAGGCUUCCCAAAACAAGGAGAUUUGCAAUUUCUGCAAACACAACGGGGAAUCCAAGCAGGUCUAUUCGUCCCACCGGCUGAAGGGGAUGGACGGCACCGUGGAGUGCCCCAUCUUGCGCAAAUACACCUGUCCGCUCUGCGGUGCCACGGGCGAAAAGGCCCAUACUUUAAAAUACUGCCCACUGAGCCAAGGGAAGAGGUCGCUGUAUCGCAAGUGCGGACGUAACUCGGCUGGACGCAAGGUGAGGAGAUAAGAAGAUCAGGAGAAGACCGAAGCAUUUAUUCUUAGUUUUAGUUUGACUUUGUAAAAGAACAACAUUUGAUUUCGAGCAUCAUUAACACUCUUUACAUUUCCUCCCACUUUGUUUCAGGUUUGGAGAAUGGAAGCCCAAUUCUCUUAGACUACAUUUAUGUGUCAGUUGCCUAGUGUGAUGAUUCAUGGGCCCUGCAGUCCUAUUCCUGACAGUAUUGUGGCAGAUGAGGAGGAAAAUAUGGAGUUUUCCCCAGAUUUCCGGUCGGAGUCAGAGCCUUGGCAGCUGCCUGAAGUUCUAGUCCAAGAACCAAUUAAACCUGACCUUGGUGGGAACUCUCCCCCUUAUGGGAGAAAACAGGCUUACACGACUGAUAGAGGAUCGAGAGAAAAAUUUAGAAGUACUGCUCGCCUUGCUGCCAAAUAUGCCACUGAUUAGAAGUAUUUCCCCUGAGAAAAUACGGGGAGUCUUGCACCUGCAAGCUGGUUUCCUUCGCUCCCUGUUCUCUAGGGAAAGUGAUUGUUGUUUGGGGAAACGAGACCCAAUAUAGGGAAAUUGCGCGAAGGAUUCCUUGCGGAGUCAAUUCGUCAGCUCCUGGAGAGAGGUCAUGUGUGUGUGGACUUCGAAUCCUGUUCCUUGCCUCCUGAAUCUAGUUCCAAGCCUUGUCCUCGUCUCACGGAUUUACCACAGAUCUUGUUCCAUGCUUCAAGUUGCUUUGCCUUUAGCCACAGCUCCAGCCACGUUCCAAGUAACUUUCAGCCUUGUGUCAAGCUUCAUUGGAUUCAAGACUUUUUCUGUUUUCCCAACGCUUUGCUUGGCAAAGCGUGUGUUGCGGUUAUUGGAUUAUAAUCUUUGGACUCUAAUAUUUCAU